UUACACUCUUCCCUUUUUAAUUUUGAUCACAAAUUCAACGUUGUAAACCAUUUGCUCUGAUAGGGUUUUGUCCUCUUUCAAUAGUGAUUGACAUGGUCUCUUCCUCUUCCUCUGCCGUCUCUCUCAUCCGCUCAUCUUCGCCAUGUAACCCGCUUCUGCAGCUGCCUCGCAACUUGCUUCCGCUUCUACUGCGCCGCGCAACCCACUUCCCCGCCGUCGCGCAACCCGCUUCCCCGCCGCCGCACAACCCGAUUCCCCAGCUUUCUAUCAGAAUGUAAUUUCAAUUCGAAAACAGUUGGAACAUUUAAAAGAAUACAAAAAUAGGUUGGAGAGGAUUCUUGGUAAACAGAAGAUCAUAUGAAGAACGCUAUAUUUUUCAGAAGUGCAGGGACAAAUGACUUUGUUAUUAAUUAUUUUACAUUGCCAAUACGAAGAAAGACAGAGGAUAAGUUAUUGUUUGGAACGGUGUAGAAUUGAAGGAAGUAAUUGGUAUCCAGAGGAAGAGAAAGAAGAGGACAGAGGAUAAGUUAUUGUUUUGCAGCAUGAAGCAGCAGCUACCUGGCGUUGAUGCUAAAUUGCAGAAGAUUACAGAAGAUAAGAGAAGAGAAGAGAAGAGAAGCAUUUCUGCUAGGGUUUUUCAUUCAAUUUCAUUCAGCGCCAUUCUCUCAUCCUCUUCCUCUACUGUAUCUCUUGUUCGCCAAUCCUCGCCGCCACAUCACGCUUCAGACGACGCCGCAACCUGCUUCCACCGCCGCCGCGCAAGACGCUGCCUCAACGCUUGGAGGUUAGUUAAUCAUUAUGCCUUUUCAAUUCAUCAUUUCGUAUGUUUUUUUCUUUUUUGGGUGAUAAUAGUGAUGAUAUUGCUGUGCUACUCAGUAGUUAGGAGGAAUGUUAUUGCCAUGAAAAUGAAACAAAAUUGAGUGUAAAGGCCAAUCAAAUCUGAACUUUGAGCAUAAGGGGAUCAAAUCCUUGUUGAACCAUUCCCUUUUCAACGUCAAAACCUCAACUAGCAAAGUAGAUGACUGAAUCAAAGAAUUUUACCUUUAUAACAAUAAUGAUUUCAUGUCUAUAUAAAUUUGUUUCCAGUAAAGUUAUAAUUAAAUUCUUGUGCAGAUGUGUGAAUGUGAUUCCAUACAAAAUAAUAAUUUUUCUUUGUAUAAUUAUGGCCUCAUGUCCAUUUUAACCCCCUUCUUGGCUUUUUGCACUUUGCUAUUCCUUUUUUCUUGCCUUUAUUGCAAGUCCAUAACCAUAUGAUAUGAUAUGAAUGUCAUUUGAUAAUGACUUGGAUGAUCACAUGAACAUUGAAGAUGACUCACUAGUAUAUGAUGAGAAUGCUUCGUACAGUAGCAAUGAAGUGGUGUAAUAUGGUAUAGUAUUUUGGUUUAAGGUUGUGGAAUCCUUUAUUUCUGGUUUAAGAUGCUAGUUAGGAAUAUUUCAUGUAGAUUUAUUUACAAAGGCCAUGUGAAAUGCGAGAUUUAACUUGAGCAUUAGACCAUACAUUAGGUUCCAAAAAUUGACUCCCAUAGAAUUCAUUGUAAACAUUUUCUCCCUUCCCCCUUUCCUUUUUAAAUCCUGUUGUAAUUUCAAUUAAAAUUAUUCAAUAUGAUAUGGUUAAUUUUGAUCUUACCUGUAAUUGUGUGACAGUUCUGAUCUGAAAUUAGCAAUAGCCUUGCAACAACAGGAUAUCACUACAUUCCAAAUAUGUAUAAGCCACUGCCUUUUCACUUUCAUCUUUCUUUCUGGUUAAUUUUUAUGAAUCUAAGAUGAGUUUGUGUUGUGAAAUUGGAUUCUGAGUUUUCAGAUUCUAAGUUUUCAAAUGGCUUUAAGAUCAAGGAAUGCAGGACUGUCUACUAACAGCAAUAACGCAGAAUGGAUUGAACCAUGAUCUUUAGGGCAAUUGCUUUUAAUGCUAUAUCCUUUGGUGUGUCUUGUUGGAUUUAUCUUAAACUAGGCUAAUAUCUUUGGUCCUAUAUGAAGUAUUUGGUCAAGAAAACUACUCUUACCAACAUUUUUAAUUCUCCCAGUUGCCCUUACUAACAUUCAUCUUUCAUGUUCAUGUCAUUUGGAGUUGGUUUUUACUUUUUACCAUUAAAAA